rnacentral:rRNA from 1 species
UACGAGGGGUGCAAGCGUUAUUCGGAAUUAUUGGGCGUAAAGGGUGUGUAGACGGCAUAUUAAGUCAACUGUUAAAUUCUUCGGCCUAACCGGAGGCAAGCGGUAGAAACUGAUAAGCUAGAGGGUGGAAGAGAGAAGUGGAAUUCUCGGAGUAGCGGUAAAAUGCGUAGAUCUCGAGAGGAACACCGAUGGCGAAGGCAGCUUCUUAGUCCAUUCCUGACGUUGAGACACGAAAGCGUGGGGAGCAAACAGG